rnacentral:rRNA from 1 species
AACGAACGCUGGCGGCAUGCCUAACACAUGCAAGUCGAACGAGACCUUCGGGUCUAGUGGCGCACGGGUGCGUAACGCGUGGGAACCUGCCCUUAGGUUCGGAAUAACUCCCCGAAAGGGGUGCUAAUACCGGAUAAUGUCUUCGGACCAAAGAUUUAUCGCCUUUGGAUGGGCCCGCGUUGGAUUAGCUAGUUGGUAGGGUAAAAGCCUACCAAGGCGACGAUCCAUAGCUGGUCUGAGAGGAUGAUCAGCCACACUGGGACUGAGACACGGCCCAGACUGCUACGGGAGGCAGCAGUGGGGAAUAUUGGACCAUGGGCGAAAGCCUGAUCCAGCAAUGCCGCGUGAGUGAUGAAGGCCGUAGGGUUGUAAAGCUCUUUUACCCGGGAUGAUAAUGACAGUACCGGGAGAAUAAGCUCCGGCUAACUCCGUG